AGUGUGUGUAUACAUGUGUUUUUGAGCCAAUCUCAUCAUCAGAGCACAGUCUCGCUUGAUUGGGCAAGGUGAUGCUGACUUGAAUAGGUAAUCAGGCUUUAAACACAUGAACAUGUUGAGGUGGCAUGUCUACUUUUAUAUGAAGAACUCAGCUAUUCUUCUCUGGGUUUUUUUUUUGUUUGUUUGUUUGUUUGUUUGUUUGUUUGUUUUUUGUCAUUUUGCAUCAAGUUAGCUGACAUGACACUCACUUCUGGCAAAUAAUCAUCAUAUUUUAAAAGUGUUGUUUUACUACAGUUUAAAAGAAAAAUAAAAUACAUUUAUAACUGGCCAGUCAAAACUGUGACUUUAAGACCAAGCUGAACUGGUUACAUCAUUAGCAGACUGAACAUGCAGUUAAUCCUACUAAUUGUGAGCACCUUGCCUUCCAGCAAAUCAGCUAGGACUAAAGGCUGAACAAUAGUACAUCUAAUUAAUGUUCAUGACCCAGGCUGAUAAAGGAGAUCUGGGUUUCUCUCUGCAUUUCCAUUCAUCACUAUAAAUCUGCAUGUACCCAUACUAAAGACAUGCUGGUAGCAUCAGCCGUGGAGUGAGAAUUAAUCCUACUAAUGGUGAGUGCCUUGCCUUUCAGCAAACCAGCUAAGACUAAUGGCUGAACAAUACCACAUCUAAUUAAUAUUCAAGAGCCAGGCUGAUAAGGUUAAUAAAGGAGGUCCAUGUAACCUGGAGAAAGUCAUCUGUUCACAUUCCCAUUCAUCUCUAUAAACCUGCAUGUUUCCAUCCACAAGAGGAACAGGAGCCAAAGCUCAGCACGGUGUGAGAAGGUUGCCCUCAGGCAAGCAUGAGACUGGCCUUGGUAAUUGGCACCAGUGAACGAGAGGGUCCUGGCACGACUCCGAAAACCAGAGGAAUGUAUGCAUUCUGUCCAGCUUCAGGCAGAGGAGUUAACAGAACAUCGUGUGAAUCAGCGUGUCUCCAGUCUACACUAUCAUUAGCCCUGGGGUGGGCCAGAGGGAAAGCAAGGGACUGUGGUGCAUCUCUUUUCAUUUACCUUUUUUUUUUUUGUUUACCUCACCCAUCUAUUCUCUCUUCAUGAGUCAUUAUUCCCCAUCUGCAGACACAUACAGUAGCUGGAGUGACGGUUGUUGUAUGGGCAUGCACAGAAAAUGAUCAAUACAAUAUUGUCACCAAACACAUCAUUUUUCAGUUGGGUUUACUCAAGCCAUCCGCUCUGUCACUUCUCAGUUUUUUAUUUUCUCUGCUACCUACAUUGCAUUCAUUCCACUCUGCCUUUAUUCAUAUUUGAAAUGCCGUUGUUGAAAUAAUCUCUUCACUGGCAUGUUUAUUCAGGGACAAUAUGGGAAGGAGACGAACCACUCAUAGAAAAAUUAAUGUAAGAAUAUUGCACGUGUAGAGAUGGAGCUUCUGCCUUUUGAUGGAGGGGUGGGUGGUAUGGUCAAAUGAAUUCAUGCUAGAAGUAAUUUAUUAUUUUUAUAAAUAUAGUGUGAUUUAAGAU